rnacentral:rRNA from 1 species
GGUUAAGUGACUAAGCGUACACGGUGGAUGCCUUGGCAGUCAGAGGCGAUGAAAGGCGUAAUAACUUGCGAUAAGCCCAGAUUAGGUAGUAAUAACCUUUUGAGUCUGGGAUUCCUGAAUGGGGAAACCCACUUGCAUAAGCAAGUAUCCUGUUGUGAAUACAUAGCAACAGGAGGCAAACCGGGGGAACUGAAACAUCUAAGUACCCCGAGGAAGAGAAAUCAACCGAGAUUCCGAAAGUAGCGGCGAGCGAAAUUGGAUUAGCCCUUAAGCUUUUAAUGAGACAGAUGAAGGCUCUGGAAAGUGCCGCAAUAAAGGGUGAUAGCCCCGUAAUCGACAUCUCAUAAUCAGUGAAAACGAGUAGGGCGGGACACGUGAUAUCCUGUCUGAAUAUGGGGGGACCAUCCUCCAAGGCUAAAUACUACUGACUGACCGAUAGUGAACCAGUACCGUGAGGGAAAGGCGAAAAGAACCCCUGUGAGGGGAGUGAAAUAGAACCUGAAACCGUGUACGUACAAGCAGUAGGAGCACCUUCGUGGUGUGACUGCGUACCUUUUGUAUAAUGGGUCAGCGACUUAAUUUUAGUAGCAAGGUUAACCGUUUAGGGGAGCCGUAGGGAAACCGAGUCUUAACUGGGCGUACAGUUGCUAGGAUUAGACCCGAAACCAGGUGAUCUAGCCAUGGGCAGGUUGAAGGUUGAGUAACAUCAACUGGAGGACCGAACCGACUAAUGUUGAAAAAUUAGCGGAUGACUUGUGGCUAGGGGUGAAAGGCCAAUCAAACCUGGAGAUAGCUGGUUCUCCCCGAAAGCUAUUUAGGUAGCGCCUCGGACGAAUACUACUGGGGGUAGAGCACUGUUAAGGCUAGGGGGUCAUCCCGACUUACCAACCCUUUGCAAACUCCGAAUACCAGUAAGUACUAUCCGGGAGACACACGGCGGGUGCUAACGUCCGUCGUGGAGAGGGAAACAACCCAGACCGCCAGCUAAGGUCCCAAAGUAUAGCUAAGUGGGAAACGAUGUGGGAAGGCUCAGACAGCCAGGAUGUUGGCUUAGAAGCAGCCAUCAUUUAAAGAAAGCGUAAUAGCUCACUGGUCGAGUCGGCCUGCGCGGAAGAUGUAACGGGGCUAAGCUAUACACCGAAGCUGCGGCUACGUACCUUAGGGUAUGUGGGGUAGGGGAGCGUUCUGUAAGCCGUUGAAGGUGGUCUGUAAGGGCUGCUGGAGGUAUCAGAAGUGCGAAUGCUGACAUGAGUAACGAUAAAGGGAGUGAAAAACUCCCUCGCCGGAAGACCAAGGGUUCCUGUCCAACGUUAAUCGGGGCAGGGUAAGUCGACUCCUAAGGCGAGGCCGAAAGGCGUAGUCGAUGGGAAACGGGUUAAUAUUCCCGUACUUCUUACAAUUGCGAUGGGGGGACGGAGAAGGCUAGGUGGGCCUGGCGACGGUUGUCCAGGUUCAAGUA